rnacentral:rRNA from 1 species
GACGUAGGGUGCAAGCGUUGUCCGGAUUUAUUGGGCGUAAAGAGCUCGUAGGCGGUUUGUCGCGUCGAUUGUGAAAUCCCGGGGCUCAACUUCGGGCUUGCAGUCGAUACGGGCAGACUAGAGGCAGGUAGGGGAGAGUGGAAUUCCUGGUGUAGCGGUGAAAUGCGCAGAUAUCAGGAGGAACACCGGUGGCGAAGGCGGCUCUCUGGGCCUGUCCUGACGCUGAGGAGCGAAAGCGUGGGGAGCGAACAGG